rnacentral:rRNA from 1 species
AUACGUAGGUGGCAAGCGUUGUCCGGAAUUAUUGGGCGUAAAGCGCAUGUAGGCGGUUUGGUAAGUCGGUCGUGAAAAUGCGGUGCUUAACGCCGUAUGGCGAUCGAAACUGCUGAACUUGAGUGCAGGAGAGGAAAGGGGAACUCCCAGCGUAGCGGUGAAAUGCGUAGAGAUCGGGAGGAACACCAGUGGCGAAGGCAGGUAACUGGACUGCAACUGACGCUGAGGCGCGAAAGUGUGGGGAGCAAACAGGAUUAGAUACCCUGGUAGUCCACACUGUAAACGAUGAAUGCUAGGUGUAAGAGGUAUCGACCCCUUUUGUGCCGGAGUCAACACAAUAAGCAUUCCGCCUGGGGAGUACGGCCGCAAGGUUGAAACUCAAAUGAAUUGACGGGG